UACGGAGGGAGCUAGCGUUGUUCGGAAUUACUGGGCGUAAAGCGCGCGUAGGCGGCUUUGCAAGUCGGGUGUGAAAUCCCCAGGCUCAACCUGGGAACUGCAUUCGAGACUGCAUUGCUAGAGUAUGGGAGAGGGAAGUGGAAUUUCCGGUGUAGCGGUGAAAUGCGCAGAUAUCAGGAGGAACACCGAUGGCGAAGGCAGGUCUCUGGGCCACUACUGACGCUGAGGCGCGAAGGCUAGGGGAGCAAACAGG
rnacentral:rRNA from 1 species